rnacentral:rRNA from 1 species
UACAGAGGGUGCAAGCGUUAAUCGGAAUUACUGGGCGUAAAGCGCACGUAGGCGGUUUUUUAAGUCAGAUGUGAAAGCCCCGGGCUCAACCUGGGAAUUGCAUUUGAAACUGGGGAACUAGAGUGUGUGAGAGGGGGGUAGAAUUCCAAGUGUAGCGGUGAAAUGCGUAGAGAUUUGGAGGAAUACCAGUGGCGAAGGCGGCCCCCUGGCACAUCACUGACGCUCAGGUGCGAAAGCGUGGGGAGCAAACAGG